GUCGAGGGGCAGCGGGGAGGUAGCAAUACUUUCGCCGGCGACCGGCGUACGGGUGAGUAACACGUAUGGAACCUGCCCGUAGCAGGGGGAUAAGCGGAAGAAAUUCCGUCUAAUACCGCGUAAUAACUCCGAGAGGCAUCUCAUGGAGUUUAAAGGGUAACACCGGCUACGGAUGGCCAUGCGGCGCAUUAGCUAGUUGGCGGGGUAACGGCCCACCAAGGCGACGAUGCGUAGGGGUUCUGAGAGGAAGGUCCCCCACACUGGUACUGAGACACGGACCAGACUCCUACGGGAGGCAGCAGUGAGGAAUAUUGGUCAAUGGGCGCGAGCCUGAACCAGCCAAGUCGCGUGAGGGAAGACGGUCCUAUGGAUUGUAAACCUCUUUUGUCGGGGAGCAAAAGACGCCACGCGUGGCGUUCCGAGAGUACCCGAAGAAAAAGCAUCGGCUAACUCCGUGCCAGCAGCCGCGGUAAUACGGAGGAUGCGAGCGUUAUCCGGAUUUAUUGGGUUUAAAGGGUGCGCAGGCGGAAGAUCAAGUCAGCGGUAAAAUUGAGAGGCUCAACCUCUUCGAGCCGUUGAAACUGGUUUUCUUGAGUGAGCGAGAAGUAUGCGGAAUGCGUGGUGUAGCGGUGAAAUGCAUAGAUAUCACGCAGAACUCCGAUUGCGAAGGCAGCAUACCGGCGCUCAACUGACGCUCAU
rnacentral:rRNA from 1 species